GAGGCGUUUCCUUUAUUUUCGUUUCUCUAUUCGAGCUACCGAUCCGCCGCGCCGGGAAUGUUUCUAAUAAACCGAAGUCGACUAAUCAAAGAGAUGUCAUUGCUGUAUAGCCAUCUGAUUUUUCACGAAAGGUUGCAGCGACUUUUUUCUACAAAAGGUUCAUCUCGACUCUGCUCGACCCGAAAGAACGCCCAUGAGGCGUUCCUCUCGGGAAUCUUUCGAAUCUGCUUCGUUACGUUCGCUCUCGUGGCGUACGUCAUCGAAUUUUCGAUUAAUCAACACCUAAUCUGUCCAAGUUUCCGCUUAAUAGCGAAAUACAUUCGAUUUGUGUCUGCAAAUACGGAAAGAGGCGUCUUUUAUGAAUUUUAUGAGAUAUUUCUAAACGAUAUUAAACGAUUGAAAAGCGUUAUUCCGAUAAUGGUGAAUUAAAAACUUUUAUAAAGUAAGUUAUAUUUAUUAAGAAGAAAUAAACAUUUUAUUUUGAUUUUAACGGAUAUGUAUUAAACCGAGUAUUAAACUAAUUAAAUUAAAGUCUAAAAAUAGUUUCCGAUUCAUAAACUAUGCUUUUUGAUAAAUUAGUCAAUUUGCAGUGGCAUUCAGAAUAAAAACUAUUUAAAUCGACAUUUAUUAUAAUCACUAUGCAUAGUUAUUAAUCAUCAGUGAUGUUUGUCCCUACACCUGUUUAUAUAUUAUAUCUAAAUUUAUGUAUGAAAAUCACUAUACACUAUAUACUGCUAUAAAGUUUACUGUACCUUACUAUUAGUUUGCAAAGUUUGAUUCAUUAUGUUCACUGAUCAUUCACGUAUCAUUCAAUUUCAAUCAACGGAAGAGACAAAAUAAGAAGAGACGAUUGUAAUGUUCUUCGACCGCCUUCGAUUUAUCUUUCGAGCAUCGCUUGUUCAAAGUGUCAUUUGCUGUAGUCAUAUGAUUUGCAAAAGAGAGAUUUUUAUUUUUAUUAUUACUUUUAUGUGAAUUAUUAUAACACAUACACGCAUAUUGUUUUUAUUCAUAAUCUUUACCUUGCGGCUUAGGACUUUACCUAUAACUUUCAUAUAUUUACAAUAUUUGCACAUAUUUUUACAUUUUUGCACAGUUUUGUUUUACAAUACUUUUUGAUUACACACAUAUAUAUGGUAUCUUUUAAAUCUCGUUGAUGAAUUUAUUAUCUUUUGAUACUAUCCUUAUAUUUUCCAUACAUUUUUAAAUACGAAUGAAGAUAAACUUCGCCUUCGUAUUAAUGUCUAUCAAAA